rnacentral:rRNA from 1 species
UACGUAGGGGGCUAGCGUUGUCCGGAAUCAUUGGGCGUAAAGCGCGUGUAGGCGGUCCGGUAAGUCCGCUGUGAAAGUCGGGGGCUCAACCCUCGGAUGCCGGUGGAUACUGUCGGGCUUGAGUACGGAAGAGGCGAGUGGAAUUCCUGGUGUAGCGGUGAAAUGCGCAGAUAUCAGGAAGAACACCGAUGGCGAAGGCAGCUCUCUGGGCGACGGUACUGACGCUGAGACGCGAAAGCGUGGGGAGCGAUCCGG